AGGGAAUUGACUCCAAGAAAGGAUUGAAAUGGAAUGAGAAGCUUUGGAGUGAAGAUCUAGAGAUUCGUGUCAGAUUAAGCUGAGAUUGAGAAGAGGAGAGAGAUCCAAAGGAAUGUAUUGUACUUCAAGUGCAUUUCUUUAAAAGAGUUAUUCCAGAAGAGUUACCUGCUUCUAUUGCUAAGUAUUAAGCUUAGGUAUUUCCACAAAGCACUCCUUUUUGUAAAUAAAGAGUAGAACAUGUAUAGCUAUAUUAUAUUAUAGUUAUAAUCUACUCCCAAAGCCCACAUUUUUUUUAGUUUGAACACACAAAUUUAAUACAUGAAAAGAUGACAUUUAAACUGAAUAAACUGUUUCAGUGUUGGAUAAACUUUCAGCUGAGGUUGUACAUUUAUAGAUCAGAACAUAUAUAUUUGUCCAUUCGUUUAACAAUUAUUCAGUGCCUGCUCACUGCUUCUCAUUACAUGUAGUGUUCAUAUUAUUAAUGC
rnacentral:lncRNA from 1 species